ACAGACAGAUCACAGCCACUCCCUGGUCCCUGCACAGGAAGCUCUCUCAAAAGCCUCCUUUUUCCAUCUCUAGCAGCAACUUGCAGUCUGGCCUCAUUGCUCUCUUGUAUGCCUAUCCACAAGUCAUUGUCUCGAGGGGAAAAACAAAACAAAACAGGAAAACCCAAGAUCUUCACUGUUUCCCUCCUUCCAGUCACAAGGUUUCUCGUCUCAAAACAAGUUGAGUUGGGGAUCCUUUGGUCCUGGACUGGUGCAUACAGUAGAAGAGGAAUGAAAGAAGGGCAGAUCAUAAUUUCCUGGUCUAAGGGAAGUGAGAUGGGAGGAGACAGAAUAAAUACUUGAUAAUUACAAAG